CACAAGCAGUGGAGCAUGUGGUUAAUUCGACGCAACGCGCAGAACCUUACCUAGGCUUGACAUCCCGGGAAUUUGCUGGAAACAGUGAGUGCUUUCAUUAGAAAGAGCCCGGUGACAGGUGCUGCAUGGCUGUCGUCAGCUCGUGUCGUGAGAUGUUGGGUUAAGUCCCGCAACGAGCGCAACCCUCGCUUUUAGUUGCCAGCAUUCAGUUGGGCACUCUAAAGGGACUGCCGGUGUCAAACCGGAGGAAGGUGGGAUGACGUCAAGUCCUCAUGGCCUUUAUGUCUAGGGCUACACACGUACUACAAUGGCAGGUACAAAGGGCAGCGACACAGCGAUGUGAUGCGAAUCCCGAAAAGCCUGUCUCAGUCCGGAUCGGAGUCUGCAACUCGACUCCGUGAAGUUGGAAUCGCUAGUAAUCGUGGAUCAGCAUGCCACGGUGAAUACGUUCCCGGGCCUU
rnacentral:rRNA from 1 species